GGAGAAGAAAACGAAGCUAAACAACACUGACCACAGAAAAGAAAACUAAACGUAAAAAUUCUGGAGGCUGGGAAGUCCAAGAUCAAGGCGUCUUUGGUGUCUGAUGAGGACCUUCUUCUUGCUUCACAGAUGGCCGUCUUCUCACCGUGUCCUCACAUGGCAGAAGGGUGGGACCACGAACACUCCAAAAACAGCUGUCCAGGAAUGGAGGUUUCAGUUUUGUGAGGACUUCUGUGGACAAAUAAAUGAAGCAUUAUAAGUCUGGAUAAAGGCUAUCCAAAAAUACUCAGCCAACCAAUGGGAGAAGAAAAAGAGAAAAAGAGGUGACCAAGACAAAUCAUCCUCAAGGAUAAGACCUGAAAGUUGUUCAUAUUUCUGCUCAUAUCCUACUGGAAACAACUUAGUUAUAAGAUGCAAGUAGUUGGAAGUGAUGCUAGGUAAUACAGAAAAUAGCUGAAUGACCAUGUGGGGAAGGUCAAUUACAAAGGGAAAGAACAGCAGAAUGGAUAAUAUGAGAUAUUAGCAACCUCUAAUACAACAACCAUAUCCUAACAAAUUGAGCUAAGCCAAUAUACAUAAUAUAAUAGCAUAAUAGAGUAUAUACUACAGAAGACUAUUAGGUAAAAUAAUUGAAUAAAAAGAUCAGAUGAAGUUCCAUUGAGAAAAUAUUGUCCUUUCAUAUUUGCGCCAGACAUCAUAAUUUUUCUUGGUACAUAGCCUUAGGGAACUAAAACAUUUGUGCAAUAGUCAACAUUUACCAAGUAUAUCAGAGAUACAUGUCUAAACCAUAUUGAACAUGUGUCCUAAAUUUCUAGUUUUCCAGAUGAAGAAGGAAAAGUUUUGUCUGUUGUCUGGGUAUUUUCUUAUUUGGAAUUUCCAGAAAAUUUGCACAACAUAUUUUAAUAUCUCAAUGUUCGGUUAUAUCAUUUAUUAUGUCUUAACAAUCUUUCCACUGUGAUGGGUCCAUAUAAUACAGGUUGUCAUCUGUUGACAAAUUCAGUAGAAACUCUUUACUGUAUUUAAGAAUGAAUGGUCCAUGAAAAGUCCCUCUAAGUAAUAACCAGUGAAGUAUCAGUGAAAAGUCUAUUGUGAGCUGGA